UAGGGAAUCUUCGGCAAUGGGGGGAACCCUGACCGAGCAACGCCGCGUGAGUGAAGAAGGUUUUCGGAUCGUAAAGCUCUGUUGUUAAGGAAGAACGAGUGUGAGAAUGGAAAGUUCAUGCUGUGACGGUACUUAACCAGAAAGGGACGGCUAACUACGUGCCAGCAGCCGCGGUAAUACGUAGGUCCCGAGCGUUGUCCGGAAUUAUUGGGCGUAAAGGGUACGCAGGCGGUUUAAUAAGUCGAAUGUUAAAGAUCGGGGCUCAACCCCGUAAAGCAUUGGAAACUGAUAAACUUGAGUAGUGGAGAGGAAAGUGGAAUUCCUAGUGUAGUGGUGAAAUACGUAGAUAUUAGGAGGAAUACCAGUAGCGAAGGCGACUUUCUGGACACAAACUGACGCUGAGGUACGAAAGCGUGGGGAGCAAACAGG
rnacentral:rRNA from 1 species